UACGAAGGGGGCUAGCGUUGCUCGGAAUUACUGGGCGUAAAGGGCGCGUAGGCGGAUAUCUAAGUUGGGGGUGAAAUCCCGGGCUCAACCUCGGAAUUGCCUUCAAAACUGGAUAUCUUGAGUUCGGGAGAGGGUGAGUGGAACUCCGAGUGUAGAGGUGAAAUUCGUAGAUAUUCGGAAGAACACCAGUGGCGAAGGCGACUCACUGGCCCGAUACUGACGCUGAGGCGCGAAAGCGAUGGGG
rnacentral:rRNA from 1 species